AAAUUGAAGAGUUUGAUCAUGGCUCAGAUUGAACGCUGGCGGCAGGCCUAACACAUGCAAGUCGAACGGUAACAGGAAACAGCUUGCUGUUUCGCUGACGAGUGGCGGACGGGUGAGUAAUGUCUGGGAAACUGCCUGAUGGAGGGGGAUAACUACUGGAAACGGUAGCUAAUACCGCAUAACGUCGCAAGACCAAAGAGGGGGACCUUCGGGCCUCUUGCCAUCGGAUGUGCCCAGAUGGGAUUAGCUAGUUGGUGGGGUAACGGCUCACCAAGGCGACGAUCCCUAGCUGGUCUGAGAGGAUGACCAGCCACACUGGAACUGAGACACGGUCCAGACUCCUACGGGAGGCAGCAGUGGGGAAUAUUGCACAAUGGGCGCAAGCCUGAUGCAGCCAUGCCGCGUGUAUGAAGAAGGCCUUCGGGUUGUAAAGUACUUUCAGCGGGGAGGAAGGGAGUAAAGUUAAUACCUUUGCUCAUUGACGUUACCCGCAGAAGAAGCACCGGCUAACUCCGUGCCAGCAGCCGCGGUAAUACGGAGGGUGCAAGCGUUAAUCGGAAUUACUGGGCGUAAAGCGCACGCAGGCGGUUUGUUAAGUCAGAUGUGAAAUCCCCGGGCUCAACCUGGGAACUGCAUCUGAUACUGGCAAGCUUGAGUCUCGUAGAGGGGGGUAGAAUUCCAGGUGUAGCGGUGAAAUGCGUAGAGAUCUGGAGGAAUACCGGUGGCGAAGGCGGCCCCCUGGACGAAGACUGACGCUCAGGUGCGAAAGCGUGGGGAGCAAACAGGAUUAGAUACCCUGGUAGUCCACGCCGUAAACGAUGUCGACUUGGAGGUUGUGCCCUUGAGGCGUGGCUUCCGGAGCUAACGCGUUAAGUCGACCGCCUGGGGAGUACGGCCGCAAGGUUAAAACUCAAAUGAAUUGACGGGGGCCCGCACAAGCGGUGGAGCAUGUGGUUUAAUUCGAUGCAACGCGAAGAACCUUACCUGGUCUUGACAUCCACGGAAGUUUUCAGAGAUGAGAAUGUGCCUUCGGGAACCGUGAGACAGGUGCUGCAUGGCUGUCGUCAGCUCGUGUUGUGAAAUGUUGGGUUAAGUCCCGCAACGAGCGCAACCCUUAUCCUUUGUUGCCAGCGGUCCGGCCGGGAACUCAAAGGAGACUGCCAGUGAUAAACUGGAGGAAGGUGGGGAUGACGUCAAGUCAUCAUGGCCCUUACGACCAGGGCUACACACGUGCUACAAUGGCGCAUACAAAGAGAAGCGACCUCGCGAGAGCAAGCGGACCUCAUAAAGUGCGUCGUAGUCCGGAUUGGAGUCUGCAACUCGACUCCAUGAAGUCGGAAUCGCUAGUAAUCGUGGAUCAGAAUGCCACGGUGAAUACGUUCCCGGGCCUUGUACACACCGCCCGUCACACCAUGGGAGUGGGUUGCAAAAGAAGUAGGUAGCUUAACCUUCGGGAGGGCGCUUACCACUUUGUGAUUCAUGACUGGGGUGAAGUCGUAACAAGGUAACCGUAGGGGAACCUGCGGUUGGAUCACCUCCUUACCUUAAAGAAGC
rnacentral:rRNA from 1 species